rnacentral:rRNA from 1 species
UCAGCCGCCGCGGUAAUACCAGCAGCCCAAGUGGUGGUCGCGUUUAUUGGGCCUAAAGCGCUCGUAGCCUGACCGGUAAGUUCCCCGUGAAAUCGGGUCGCCCAACGAUUCGGCUUGCGGGGAAUACUGUCGGUCUUGGGGCCGGGAGACGCCGAGGGUACUCCGGGGGUAGCGGUGAAAUGCUGUAAUCCUCGGGGGACUACCAGUGGCGAAGGCGCUCGGCGAUAACGGGCCUGACGGUGAGGGGCGAAAGCUGGGGGCGCGAACGGGAUUAGAUACCCCGGUAGUCCCAGCCGUAAAGGAUGCGGGCAAGGUGCUCGUCGCUCUUCGAGGGCGUCGGGUGCCGUAGAGAAGUCGUUAAGCCCGCCGCCUGGGAAGUACGGUCGCAAGGCUGAAACUUAAAGGAAUUGGCGGGGGAGCACA